rnacentral:rRNA from 1 species
GAUGAACGCUGGCGGCGUGCCUAAUACAUGCAAGUCGAACGCUUUGUGGUUCAACUGAUUUGAAGAGCUUGCUCAGAUAUGACGAUGGACAUUGCAAAGAGUGGCGAACGGGUGAGUAACACGUGGGAAACCUACCUCUUAGCAGGGGAUAACAUUUGGAAACAGAUGCUAAUACCGUAUAACAAUGACAACCGCAUGGUUGUUAUUUAAAAGAUGGUUCUGCUAUCACUAAGAGAUGGUCCCGCGGUGCAUUAGCUAGUUGGUAAGGUAAUGGCUUACCAAGGCGAUGAUGCAUAGCCGAGUUGAGAGACUGAUCGGCCACAAUGGGACUGAGACACGGCCCAUACUCCUACGGGAGGCAGCAGUAGGGAAUCUUCCACAAUGGGCGAAAGCCUGAUGGAGCAACGCCGCGUGUGUGAUGAAGGGUUUCGGCUCGUAAAACACUGUUGUAAGAGAAGAAUGACAUUGAGAGUAACUGUUCAAUGUGUGACGGUAUCUUACCAGAAAGGAACGGCUAAAUACGUGCCAGCAGCCGCGGUAAUACGUAUGUUCCAAGCGUUAUCCGGAUUUAUUGGGCGUAAAGCGAGCGCAGACGGUUAUUUAAGUCUGAAGUGAAAGCCCUCAGCUCAACUGAGGAAUUGCUUUGGAAACUGGAUGACUUGAGUGCAGUAGAGGAAAGUGGAACUCCAUGUGUAGCGGUGAAAUGCGUAGAUAUAUGGAAGAACACCAGUGGCGAAGGCGGCUUUCUGGACUGUAACUGACGUUGAGGCUCGAAAGUGUGGGUAGCAAACAGGAUUAGAUACCCUGGUAGUCCACACCGUAAACGAUGAGUGCUAGGUGUUUGAGGGUUUCCGCCCUUAAGUGCCGCAGCUAACGCA